rnacentral:rRNA from 1 species
UCGUGCGGAAACGAGUUAUCUGAACCUUCGGGGAACGAUAACGGCGUCGAGCGGCGGACGGGUGAGUAAUGCCUAGGAAAUUGCCCUGAUGUGGGGGAUAACCAUUGGAAACGAUGGCUAAUACCGCAUAAUGCCUACGGGCCAAAGAGGGGGACCUUCGGGCCUCUCGCGUCAGGAUAUGCCUAGGUGGGAUUAGCUAGUUGGUGACGUAAUGGCUCACCAAGGCGACGAUCCCUACCUGGUCUGAGAGGAUGAUCAUUCUUACUGUAACUGACACACGGUCCAGACUCCUACGGGAGGCAUCAGGGGGGAAUAUCGCACAGUGGGCGCGAGCCUGAUGCACCCGUGGCGGGUCUGUCAACAACGCCUUCCGGUUGUUACGCAC